UGGGGUGUAGCUCAGUGGUAGGGCAUUUGCCUAGCAUGUGCAAGGCCUUGGGUUCCAACCUAGCACUGCAA
rnacentral:tRNA from 1 species